rnacentral:rRNA from 1 species
AACGAACGCUGGCGGCAGGCUUAACACAUGCAAGUCGAGCGCCCCGCAAGGGGAGCGGCAGACGGGUGAGUAACGCGUGGGAAUCUACCCAUCUCUACGGAAUAACGCAUGGAAACGUGUGCUAAUACCGUAUACGUCCUUCGGGAGAAAGAUUUAUCGGAGAUGGAUGAGCCCGCGUUGGAUUAGCUAGUUGGUGGGGUAAAGGCCUACCAAGGCGACGAUCCAUAGCUGGUCCGAGAGGAUGAUCAGCCACACUGGGACUGAGACACGGCCCAGACUCCUACGGGAGGCAGCAGUGGGGAAUAUUGGACAAUGGGCGCAAGCCUGAUCCAGCCAUGCUGCGUGAGUGAUGAAGGCCCUAGGGUUGUAAAGCUCUUUCACCGGUGAAGAUAAUGACGGUAACCGGAGAAGAAGCCCCGGCUAACUUCGUGCCAGCCGCCGCGGUAAGAC